GACGAACGCUGGCGGCGUGCCUAAUACAUGCAAGUCGAACGCAGUGGGGACGGGUGAGUAACACGUGGGUAACCUCCCAUCAGAGGGGAUACCACUUGGAAACAGGUGCUAAACCGCUACUGAUGGAUGAACCCGCGGUGCAUUAGCUAGUUGGUGAGGUAACGGCUCACCAAGGCCAAGAUGCAUAGCCGACCGGAGAGGGUGAGCGGCCACACUGUGACUGAGACACUGCCCAGACUCCGACGUGAGGCAGAAGUAGGGAAUCGUCUGCAAUGGACGAAAGUCUGACCGAGCAACGCCGCGGGAGUGAAGAAGGUUUUCGGAUCGUAAAACUCUGUUGUUAGAGAAGCGGUAUCUAACCAGAAAGCCACGGCUAACUACGUGCCAGCAGCCGCGGUAAUAC
rnacentral:rRNA from 1 species